CCUCCCAUAGACCUCUAGGAUCCAUUUUGUUUCUCCUUCUGAGCAAGAUUCAACCCUCCUCCCUUGAGCCUUCCUUACUAUUUGGAUUCUUUGAGCCUCUUGACUAUAGCACGGUUAUCCUGUACUUUAUGGCUAAUAUCCACUUAAAAGGUGCUCAAGAAAAAUAUACUUAAAUGCCAAGUUGUAUUAGAAAUAAAGCAUGUUAUGGUGAUGACCAUUCCUGACAUACAGAGUGCGUCACACAGUUCUCCUUUGUAUUUGGGUGACGAUCAUCUGGGAAAAAAAAAAGCUUCAUAAUAAUCCUGUGAGGAAAAUGGUAUUACCUCAAUUUAAAAAUAAAUAAGCUGAGUUAUGAAAAGUUUGUGGCGAUAAGAAGGAGCAAUUUGAAGUGAAAAAUCAGUGCUGCAGGAUGUUACUGAAUAUCCUUCACUAACUUCCUUAAUAGUCCUUCUCCUAACUACUCCAUUGGGGUCCCCGUGCUCAGUCCGAUGGUUGGCCACAAGCAUCCACAUCUGUAUUCAUCAGGCUCUUGGCAAUGCUUCUCCAGAGAUAGCUGUAUCAGGCUCCUGUCAGCAUACUUGUUGGCACCAGCAAUAGUGCCUAAGUUUGGUGUCUGCAUAUGGAAUGGAUCCCAGAUUGUCUGGAACUCUAAGUUUUAUAAGAACUCCUCUAGAGUCUUUGGGUGAAACUAUACGAUAAGAUUGAGCUACAUGAUUUCUAUAAAGAGAUCUUAGGGAUACCAUUAAAGAGUAAGUAUUUUCUGAAGGUAUGUGA